rnacentral:rRNA from 1 species
GACGAACGCUGGCGGCGUGCUUAACACAUGCAAGUCGAACGAAGUGGCGAACGGGUGAGUAACGCGUAAUCAACCUGCCCUUCAGAGGGGGACAACAGUUGGAAACGACUGUUAAUACCGCAUACUGAUGGAGGGGAUUGCGUCUGAUUAGCUAGUUGGAGGGGUAACGGCCACCCAAGGCGAUGGUCAGUAGCCGGUCUGGAGAGAUGAACGACCACAUUGGGAACGAGGAACGGCCCCGACUCCUAAGGGAGGCAGCAGUGGGGAAUCUUCGGAAAUGGACGGAAGUCUGACGGAGCAACGCCGCGUGAGUGAUGACGGCCUUCGGGUUGUAAAGCUCUGUUAAUCGGGACGCGGUACCGGAAUAGAAAGCCACGGCUAACUACGUGCCAGCAGCCGCGGUAAUAC